GGCGCUUUCCGAUUGGACAGCGUCACCCGCUAGAAGUUCGCCGCAGAAGAUGAGGGCGGCGAUCACGUCCAUCGCGUCUCGUGGCGCGAAGCCGGCCAAUAAAUGCUGUUUGGAGGCCCACUUUCCAGCCAAGAAUUGCCACUGCACCUGAGAUAAGGGGGAUCCUGGCCAUUAAGGAAACCUUGCCUUCGAAACUGAGCCGUGAGGAACUAUACAAAAUGGGAAAUUGGGACAAAUCCCAGUGGCUCAUGACACUAAGAAGUAAAAUUACGAACUCACUGAGCUGGAAGUCAUUCAACGGGAAUUGAAUAGGUAACUGCACUUUUGUGAGAUUAUAAAUAUACCACGGAGGGUAACGAAGCUACAGAAGAAUGGAAGAAGACAGCCUGGAAGACUCAAACCUUCCUCCAAAAGUUUGGCAUUCUGAGAUGACGGUGUCAGUGACAGGCGAACCACCUAGUACCGUAGAAGAAGAAGGAAUACCUAAAGAAACAGACAUAGAAAUCAUCCCAGAAAUCCCGGAAACUCUAGAGCCACUGUCCCUUCCAGAUGUGCUGAGGAUCUCGGCAGUUCUGGAGGACACCACAGACCAGCUCUCUAUUCUGAACUACAUCAUGCCCGUUCAGUACGAAGGGAGACAGAGCAUCUGCGUGCAGAGAAAUGAAUCUAGAAGGAACGAAUCUAGACAAACUUCCAAUGGCCUCAACAAUCACAAAAAUACCCAGUCCGUUAAUAACUGAGGAAGGACCCAACUUGCCAGAAAUCAGAC
rnacentral:lncRNA from 1 species